UACGUAGGAGGCAAGCGUUGUCCGGAAUUACUGGGCGUAAAGCGCGUGUAGGUGGUGGGACAAGUCUGCUGUGAAAGCGCCUGGCUUAACCGGGCGAGGUCGGCGGAAACUGUCCGACUCGAGGACGGUAGAGGGGGGUGGAAUUCCCGGUGUAGUGGUGAAAUGCGUAGCGAUCGGGAGGAACACCUGUGGCGAAGGCGGCCCCCUGGGCUGGCCCUGACACUGAGACGCGAAGGCGUGGGGAGCGAACGGG
rnacentral:rRNA from 1 species